GAAUAUCUGAACAAUGCAUCCAAAAAUAAACUGCUGACAUUCUGGACAUAACUUUGUAAGGACUGUGUUUGUGUAAAUAGUUUCUGAAAAAAGUGUGGCCAGCUCAAACGCUGAUUGUUGAGUCAUUCGAAACUGCCGUUCUAAACGAGCAUUCUAAAUGAGUGUUCUAAACACACGGGUGUGAUCGUACGCUUCAGGGACCACUGUAGAACGAUCACACCCGUGUGAUGGUACGUGUUUAAUUUCUUUAAACAAUAAAAGCUUAUUUACCAACAUUUCCUUAAAUGGAUAUAUAGCGUUUAGUAAUUCAACUCUUCAUCCCAUCAUGCUCACUCAUUAUGUUUCUACCUCUACCUGCAUGUGGUGCUUAGCAGCAACCUGGGUCUAGCCCUGUCAUCCGGACAGCUGAAGCGGCUGAGAGACAUGGUGGUGAAACAGAGUGGAGCUGGGAAACAUGGCGGCCAGAGUGACAGCUAAUGAGAGCCAGGUGGAGGAUCACUGGAGAGUGAAAAUACAGAAUUCCGGUCCAAGCAGCAGAACUGUCAACCAUGGGAGCCAGAGUGACAGCUAGUGAGAGAGAGGUGGAGGGGCUGAAGAGUGAGAAAACAGGUUUGGAGGCCAGACUCAGUGCCAGUGAGAGCCAGGUGGAGGAGCUGAAAGGAGAGGUGGAGGAGCUGAAAGGAGAGGUGGAGGAGCUGAAAGGAGAGGUGGAGGAGCUGAAAGGAGAGGUGGAGGAGCUGCAGAAAGGUGGUGAACCAGAGAGUGGAGAUGAGUCACUAAGACUGAACUGGACUUCCACACACCCAGAAGUUACCUCUGGCCUUAUUACUUUGAUGUAGAAAGAAGCUGUUUGUUUCAUCAACACUUCAUUUGCAUUUUCUUUACAUGACAUUUUAGCACUAGAUGGCAGAUGGACAGCCAGUGAGAGCCAGGUGGAGGAGCUGAAGACAGAGAACAGAGGGAAAGUAAGACAGCUACAUGUCAUUUGAUUACUUUCAUCAACAAAGACAUGGUUUGUUGAAGUCAUCAACAGUUUAUUUGUAUUGUUACAUGAUAUCCUUGACUUGGGACCAGAGUGACAGUCAGGGGAGGAGCUGAAGACAGAGAAUGCAUGAAAGACAUGGAUAUUCAUAUACUUAUAAAGGGAUUUGAAGGCUUGUUUAUGUGAACUAUUUACAACAAGUUUUUGUGUUUUAUUCAAUAUCGGUCAGAAAGUCUAUAUUUUUUAUAUUGUUGCAGUUUUGGGGGGUAGAGUGACAGCCACAGAGAGAGGUGGAGGACCUGAAAACAGUAAAUUCAGGUAAGAUGAACGCAGUCUUGCAGAACAAGACAUGUUACUAUUUUCUGUCAUUUUCUUCAUCAUUUUAUUAACGAUGUUGUCAUUGUUUAUGUAAUACAUAUUUUGUGUAUGAUGGUGAAAAUCAUUAACACUUUCCUGUGUUCACAGAGACACCAAAGGUGGCAUUCUCUGCUGCUUUAGGUAGUACAGUGGGACCCUUCUGAUCUACACCAAUGUCAUCACUAACAUCAGCCAGGCCUACUGACCUCACCCUGAUCUCAACCAAUAUCAUCACUAACAUCAGCCAGGCCUACUGACCUCACCCUGAUCUCAACCAAUGUCAUCACUAACAUCAGCCAGGCCUACUGACCUCACCCUUAUCUCAACCAAUGUCAUCACUAACAUCAGCCAGGCCUACUGACCUCACCCUGAUCUCAACCAAUGUCAUCACUACGAGGACAAGGCUGAGAUCACUCUGUCAUGCUGAUGAAUUCGAAUAACAGACUGGAAGCUUCAAAAGGAG
ensembl:lncRNA